CAGCCGCCGCGGUAAUACGAAGGGUGCAAGCGUUAAUCGGAAUUACUGGGCGUAAAGCGUGCGUAGGCGGUGAGUUAAGUCUGCUGUGAAAUCCCCGGGCUCAACCUGGGAAUGGCAAUGGAUACUGGCAAGCUAGAGUGUGUCAGAGGAUGGUGGAAUUCCCGGUGUAGCGGUGAAAUGCGUAGAGAUCGGGAGGAACAUCAGUGGCGAAGGCGGCCAUCUGGGACAACACUGACGCUGAGGCACGAAAGCGUGGGGAGCAAACAGGAUUAGAUACCCCCGUAGUCCCUGUCUCUUAUAC
rnacentral:rRNA from 1 species